rnacentral:snRNA from 1 species
GUGCUCACUUCAGCAGCACAUAUACUAAAAUUGGAACAAUUUAGAAAAGACUAGCAUGGCCUCUCUGCAAGGAUGACUUGCAAAUUGGUGAAGGAUAGCAUACUUUA